rnacentral:rRNA from 1 species
GUAACCCCUACAUAGCUGCCCUGGAUACAUGGACAACCCCGGGAAACUGGCUUUAAUACGUGAUAGGUCAUCCCAUCUGGAAGGAGGGAUGGCUUAAAGGGGCGCGCGGGCUUCUUCUGCGCGUCCGCUCCAGGAUGGGACUGCGUCCGAUCAGGCUGUUGGCGGGGUAAUGGCCCACCAAACCUGUAACCGGUACGGGCCUUGAGAGAGGUGGCCCGGAGAUGGACACUGAGAGAAGGGUCCAGGUCCUACGGGGCGCAGCAGGCGGGAAACCUUCGCAAUGCGCGAAAGCGUGACGAGGUUAAUCCGAGUGGUCCCCGCUGAGGGGACCUUUUGUCAGCUGUAAAUAGGCGGGCGAAUAAGGGGAGGGCAAGCCUGGUGUCAGCCGCCGCGGUAAUACCAGCUCCUCGAGUGGUCGGGGCGAUUAUUGGGCCUAAAGCAUCCGUAGCCGGUUCCGUAGGUCCUCUGUUAAAUCCACCCGCUCAACGGGUGACCUGCAGAGGAUACCGCGGGACU